GACGAACGCUGGCGGCGUGCUUAACACAUGCAAGUCGAACGGAAAGGCCCUGCUUUUGUGGGGUGCUCGAGUGGCGAACGGGUGAGUAACACUUGAGUAACCUGCCCUUGACUUUGGGAUAACUUCAGGCAACUGGGGCUAAUACCGGAUAGGAGCUCCUGCUGCAUGGUGGGGGUUGGAAAGUUUCGGCGGUUGGGGAUGGACUCGCGGCUUAUCAGCUUGUUGGUGGGGUAGUGGCUUACCAAGGCUUUGCCGGGUAGCCUGCCUGAGAGGGUGACCGGCCACAUUGGGACUGAGAUACGGCCCAGACUCCUACGGGAGGCAGCAGUGGGGAAUAUUGCACAAUGGGCGGAAGCCUGAUGCAGCAACGCCGCGUGCGGGAUGACGGCCUUCGGGUUGUAAACCGCUUUCGCCUGUGACGAAGCGUGAGUGACGGUAAUGGGUAAAGAAGCACCGGCUAACUACGUG
rnacentral:rRNA from 1 species